rnacentral:rRNA from 1 species
CCCUUAGAUGUUCUGGGCAGCACGCGCGCUACAAUGGUCUUCGCAAACGGAUGCAUUCUCGAAGGAGAAUGCCAAUCUUGGAAUCUAUGCCUUGGUCGGGACAGUUGCUUGCAAUUUUUCGACUCGAACCAGGAAUUCCUUGUAAUCGUGAUUCAUCACAUCACGAUGAAUACGUCCCUGCCCUUUGUACACACCGCCCGUCGCUCCUACCGAUCGAAGAGUUAGGUGAAUUGUUUUGAUCGAUAAGAUUUGACUAUGGUCAACUCUCGUUGUGAAAUUCUGUGAAUCUGACUGUAUAGAGGAAGGAAAAGUCGUAACA